rnacentral:rRNA from 1 species
UACAGAGGUCCCGAGCGUUGUUCGGAUUUACUGGGCGUAAAGCGCACAUAGGCGGAUUGUUAAGUGAGGGGUGAAAUCCCAGGGCUCAACCCUGGAACUGCCUUUCAUACUGGCAAUCUCGAGUCCGGAAGAGGUGAGUGGAACUCCUAGUGUAGAGGUGGAAUUCGUAGAUAUUAGGAAGAACACCAGUGGCGAAGGCGGCUCACUGGUCCGGUACUGACGCUGAGGUGCGAAAGCGUGGGGAGCAAACAGG